CUCGAGGGCGGUCCCCGAGGCCGCUGAGAUUGUGGGUGUCUGUUGAGCGGCUGGCGGGAGUCGUGCUACCUUGAGUAGGGGUUAAAGUCGUUCUUGAGAGGGACGUCUGUGUCCGGAGAGAAAAUGAGUUUAGCUCUGAGAAGUGAACUUGUAGACAAAACAAAGAGGAAAAAAAGAAGAGAACUCUCUGAAGAACAGAAACAAGAAAUUAAAGAUGCUUUUGAACUAUUUGACACGGACAAAGAUGAAGCAAUAGAUUAUCAUGAAUUAAAGGUGGCAAUGAGAGCCUUGGGGUUUGAUGUAAAAAAAGCUGAUGUACUGAAGAUUCUUAAAGAUUAUGACAGAGAAGCCACAGGGAAAAUCACCUUUGAAGAUUUUAAUGAAGUUGUGACAGACUGGAUAUUGGAAAGAGAUCCACAUGAAGAAAUAUUGAAGGCAUUUAAACUAUUUGAUGAUGAUGAUUCAGGUAAAAUAAGCUUGAGGAAUUUGCGACGUGUUGCCAGAGAAUUGGGUGAAAACAUGAGUGAUGAAGAACUUCGGGCUAUGAUAGAAGAAUUUGAUAAAGAUGGUGAUGGAGAAAAAUGAAGCAGACCUUUGAAACCAACUAUAUAGAUUGUAAUAUGAGGUUCCACACUUAAAAAAGUAAAUCAAGAGGAGUUCAUUGCUAUUAUGACUGGUGACAUUUAAAGAAUUACAAGGAAAAACACUAAGAAUGUUGCAGUUAUCAUCUUAUAUUCUAUUUUUGUGCUUGGAGGCAUGUAAAAACACACACCCCAACUUAGUUUUUGUUUUUUUCCAAAAGGGACCAAAAAUAAGCAUCUUAUGUAUUCAUAUUUUACUACUGUUAAGUUUCUUUGUAUGAAAAAGUAUUGUUAGCACUCUAAUAGUUCAUAGCAUUGUAAUUAUAAUAUAGCUUUUUAUAUAUAUAAAGUUUAAAAAAUUGAAUCGUGGUACAAAUUAUUUGAAGGUUUUUUAAUUGGCAUUAGUCCCUUUUGUUUUGGUGUACAUGUUUUUCAGACUUUCAUUAAUAAAAUGUUUAUUUUAUUAGUAUUUUAAA